GGGUUGAAGGAGUUGUUGACGUCAGAAGUCGGCUUCUAAAACCCUCUGGUUUGAUUGAUUCGCAGCUUAUGAUGGAAAACGUUGUGUUCUACCAAACGGAUUGCGAGACCCUUUGGUCUCAGAUUAAAUGCAAAGAGAAGCAGAUUCAACUCAAACGGAGCAGGUGGUUGUUGGGUCUUCCUCUCUCUGAAUCUGAGCACACCCUGUUUCAAAGUCCUGACUUUGAACGAGAUUCAUUGCCGGAAUCUUUGCUCAGGGAAGAUGAUCUGUUCUAUGAGACUGCAAAGUCUUCUGUUCAAGCAGCCUUUGGAGCAUGCAAUGUUGAAGCAGGGAAGCGAGAUAAUAUUCUAAUGCUCGACAGAAAAAGUAUAUCCACAGCCUUGUCAUCGCCAUGCCUUGAUGAUUUGACUACUAAGGGGCUUCACCUUAUAGCUACUACACUUGCAGCAGGUUCAGUCAAGUUUGAGAACACUCGUUGCGAGAUGAAGAAGUUUAUCAGAGAAUCUCUGCAAAAAAAAUUUGGAAGCCAAAAUAAUCAUGACGAUGAUGAGUUGGGCAUUUUUAAGCAACUAUCUCAAUAUCUUAGUGACCCACAAAAUUUCCGAGAUAAGGUUGUUACAGUUCUUUCCAGAUCACAGUCUCUACGUCUUGCUGUUAGAAAGGUACUGGAUGGACUUGAGGACUUGCCUUCUGAGACCCUAUUUGCAAUGAGCAGAAGGCUUAAAGGAGUACAACAUUUACCUCAGUUACAUCAAAAGAAAAAUACAUUGUACAAAAGGACUUUGAUUGAUCAAUUGCGGAAAACUUGUGACACGAUGCUUUCCGAACUUGGUACAGGAGAUGAACUGCAGGAAUCACUAGCCAAAGCCAUGGCAGUAGCAGGCCUAGCAGUGAAGUUACAACCAGGUCUCCAUAAUUCGACUGUAACAGAAUUUCGCCAAUUUUCACAAGAGAUAAUGAUACUGCAGGAUGAUAUUGCAAGGGCUAUUUGGCUAGUUGAAAAAAAGGUUAGCUUGCAAGAGCUCGAAAAGUUGAAGACUAUAUUAGGCCAAGAUGCUGAAGUAUCAAACAGGAGCUUACGAUAUGCAAUUAAGAAAAUGCUAACUGAAUAUCUCUUCGAGUGUGGUGAUAUGGAUACAAUUCCAAAGUCAUUAUUAGAAGCUCUUGAUAUUAUCAACAUGUCACAAAACAAGCUGCAUAGACCCAUCUUAAAGGAUGAAAUUGAAGAAGAGGUGGAAUGUAUAUUGAAUGUGAGUGCUCAGGCAAAGCAGAUUGUAUGGGAUAUGUUCCCUGACCAUGAGUUAGAUCUAGACUUUGCUGAGGCAUAUGUUGAGGAAAUGGAGGAUGAAGACGAUGAUGAGGAUGACGAGGAUGAUGGUGAUGAUAGGUCUAGCAAUGAUGAUAACAACCAUAAUCAUGGUUCGCCACAGGAACAAAGAAUAUCUGGAAGUGACAGAUCUCACUCUGAUGAUUCACAUUAUGAGGAUGAAAGCACUGGGGAAACAAUGUUCUCCAAUCAAGGAACUUCUCAUGAUUUCAAUGGUAUUAGUCGAGGGUUUCCUGGGACUUCUACUGAGAGACAUGAACCUGAACAUGACACUGGAAUGGAUACGGAAGACCCCUUGCAUGUCGAGCCAGAUGAUGUGCAUAAACAAACCACUUGUAACCAAUACCUUGCAAUUCAAGAAGUGUCCGAUAAGACAAGCAUGAUAGCCCAUGAUCUUGUUGGUCAUAUGUUGGAGGAGUUUGCACAGAAAGAUGGCUUGGAUUUGGACUGGGAUGAUACAUUAUAUCUGAAAGGUGAUUGUGCAACUCGAGAAGAUUCAGGAGUGUUUCUUUCUCACCCAUCUCAGUGGUAGAAGAAAGGCAGACAUUGUCUCUGGAGAACAAAGGCGGUUCUGUAAUUGUUAGUGUAAUUGAGGAUCUAAUACCUUCAUUUCCAAAGAGCGGAAUCGAAGCAUUAAGGAACUUGGUGGGCAAAUAACAGAAUCAGGCAACGUUCAUGCUUCUUACUGUGUUUCUCUUUCCUGUGAUUGGAACCAGGGUCUUUUACAAGAUGAGUGGAACUACGACGUGAAUUACUCAUUGAGUCUUACGAAAUGUGAAUCUUGUCCGCACUCUGUAGAUGUCCAACUGAGGAAACCAUACUUCGAUGUAAUUGCUUCACUAAAUGGUUUUCUUUUUCAAAUGCAUUAUGCUUCCCAAACAUGUGGAUUUGGAAGUCAGUAA